rnacentral:rRNA from 1 species
GACGAACGCUGGCGGCGUGCCUAAUACAUGCAAGUUGAGCGAUGAAGAUUGGUGCUUGCCCCAAUUUGAAGAGCAGCGAACGGGUGAGUAACGCGUGGGGAAUCUGCCUUUGAGCGGGGGACAACAUUUGGAAACGAAUGCUAAUACCGCAUAACAACUUUAAACAUAAGUUUUAAGUUUGAAAGAUGCAAUUGCAUCACUCAAAGAUGAUCCCGCGUUGUAUUAGCUAGUUGGUGAGGUAAAGGCUCACCAAGGCGAUGAUACAUAGCCGACCUGAGAGGGUGAUCGGCCCCAUUGGGACUGGGACACGGCCCAAACUCCUACGGGAGGCAGCAGUAGGGAAUCUUCGGCAAUGGACGAAAGUCUGACCGAGCAACGCCGCGUGAGUGAAGAAGGUUUUCGGAUCGUAAAACUCUGUUGGUAGAGAAGAACGUUGGUGAGAGUGGAAAGCUCAUCAAGUGACGGUAACUACCCAGAAAGGGACGGCUAACUACGUG